rnacentral:rRNA from 1 species
UACGAAGGGGGCUAGCGUUGUUCGGAAUCACUGGGCGUAAAGCGCACGUAGGCGGACUUUUAAGUCUGGGGUGAAAGCCUGAGGCUCAACCUCAGAACUGCCCUUGAUACUGGGAGUCUUGAGUAUGGUAGAGGUUGGUGGAACAGCAAGUGUAGAGGUGAAAUUCGUAGAUAUUUGCUAGAACACCAGUGGCGAAGGCGGCCAACUGGACCAUAACUGACGCUGAGGUGCGAAAGCGUGGGGAGCAAACAGG